rnacentral:lncRNA from 1 species
ACAACAGAGAGGAGUUAGUUUGCAAGAGGAGGCAUUAUCUUCAUGGUGGAGACAAACUGUCGAGCCCGGAGUAGAAAGGGAAGGGGAAAAGGAAGAAACUGAAGAAUGGUCGAGAAAGGGAAGGGGAAAAGGAAGAAACUGAAGAAUGGUCGAUAUUCUGACGACGACGACGACGACGUAGUAUCGCUGGAUCCUCAGUUAAUUCAAUGUGAGAAGAAGAAGAAGAGAAAAAACACAGGUCUUAACGUCUUAAUGGAACUAGAAAAGCAAGGUAUUGGUGCAGUGAUGUACAAAUAUUUACCGUAUGGAAGUGCUUCUUAACAUCAGUGAAUUAUUGUAAUGUGAUGUAGCCUAAUGUUGUCUGUCAUAUUGUACACCAUGGGGUCGCCAACUGGCCUGCUUUGCCUGGCCUGUCAGAUCAUUUUGACUUUUUGCUUUCUGUCAAAAAUUAAGCAUAUUAACAAGAUUAGAUUUGAGUAUUCAUCUCCUGUUCCGCCUGCAUUGUCUACUCGCUCAGGCUCAUCCCCCAUGCUGACCUCUGUUGUACAGUCUUGAUGUAACCCUUAACUCUAUCUUCUGUUUGUCGUAGGAUCAUGUCAGCUGAACUCAAUUAACGAAACCAGGAAUGAAGUAAACUGUCUGCACUUAAUGUUCUACCUACAAUUAAAGUUUUUAUUUCCUAACUCUAUAGUAUAGGGAUAGAUACAGCAAUAUAUUCCUGUAAUCUAUCAGCUGUGAGCUUUGUACCCUCUAACGGGCUUCUGUAGGUAUUUGCCCAGGUGUAUGUCAGUCAGUUUUGUUUUUUUAAUGGAAUUUUUAUUUUCAGUGCCAUCACCCAUCUUGUGAGCUGUUGAGGGAGAACAACCACAGGCUGCAGAGGGAAAAUGAUUCUCUCUAGGCAAAAAUAGCAACAUUGAAAUUGCUGCCAGACGCUUUGCAGAAGAUGGAGGAGUUUCUCCGCUCAGCACCAAGACCAACGACAACACCAAUACCAACACCAAGACCAGAACCAUCACUAUCACCAGCACCAACAGCAGUUCCACCACCAGCAACAGAAGACCCAUCACCAGCUCCAGGUCCAUCAUCAGCAUCAGCAACAGAGGCCCUGGGCCACUCUGUCAUUCCAAAAGGACUUGUGGAGCGCUGCUCCUUCCAAAGCCCCCAGAAGUUCAUAAAUGAUCUCCUACAUGGGAUGUAUACCAGGGAAUAUAUGGCAGGCCAUUCAGUGACUGGCCAGUCAUCCAGCAGCUGCACAGAAGGAAAACCUGGCCUAGCCAAACAGGACCUUGUUGAAAUAACAAGUAGGUAUAUAGAAAUGAGAAAAGAUGUUGGUUGAGUGAUACCCUCAUUCUCAUGCUCAUCUUUCGUGUAUGUGUUUGUGUGUGUGUGUGUGUAUUCCCAAAGAUGCUGCAAAGUUGAAGUUCACCUACGUAACUGAUACGAACAUAAAAGCAUUUAUACGACAAAAGCUGAACAAUGCUGCCAAAUUUCAGAAACAAUAAAUUAUCAACUGUU